rnacentral:rRNA from 1 species
GCCGGUGGUUCUUGCACGGUUGAAACACUCGAUCCCAUCCCGAACUCGACAGUGAAACACCGUCACGCCAAUGGUACUUUGUCUCAAGACACGGAAGAGUAGGUCGCUGCCGGCU